GAAGAUGCUAGAAUGUGAGCUCACACUGUACCUUCCUUGUUGCCAACACGGAGACAUGGUUUCCAUCUCUGAAGGAGGCAGAAUCAUCAUCCACUUCCCAGGAUCAUUUGAAACUUCUUCUUGGAAACUGGUUAUCAUGCUGUAA
rnacentral:lncRNA from 1 species